rnacentral:lncRNA from 1 species
CGGAGGAGCGUUACAGGGUAGCGUUUAAAUCUGAGAUCCCCCCCCCCCGUAAUUUCCUACGCGUGUUGCUGUUUUAUGGAGCGUCGCGUGGCGGUUGUUCCUCAGGUCUCAGCCCGUUUAGGUGCGGGCUUUACGGUGAGCAGCGGCUGCGCUCUGCCGAAGUUACCCAGGCACGACUUGAGGCGUGGAUGGGGGACCUCGGUGUGCCGGGGAGCGCCCGGAGCCCCGGAGCGAAGCUCCAGGAGCCCGAAUCGUCUUUUGCAGACUUAAUAGAGCUCGGUCCCCUCUGGCAGGCUCAAGCCCGGGAGAUUUCAGCCUCCUAAGUGAAAAUAAAGAAGCGCAAGUGAGUGCAGGAGCUCGGGAUGGGAGCACCGGGGCAGCCCGUAGCACAAAUCCUGCUUCAGGUCAAACUCCUGCCGUGUGCGCGCUGGGAGCGUUGGCGUUGCUGCUUCCACCUGCUCCAGCUGAGAUUCUCCGCAGCCUCUCGGUCUCCUGAAGGCUUCGGGGAUUCCUUACGGGUUUUGCUGAGCCCUCCUGCGAUCUGGGAAGCAGCCCGGGAAAGGAACUCGUAGGAAGGACGGGGCGCAGUGACCGCGGGGCGCCCCGGCAUCCCUUCUGCCACGAAAAUGCGGUGCUUUCGUACAGGGUGUCAGGUGCUGGCAGGAGAAAGGGGCUGCCGCUGAUGUCGAGGGCAGGUACUGCUGUCAGAUUUACCUUCGGCCUUUUUCUUGCCGCAGUUCCUGCAGGUCCCUAGGAAAAUAUGUGUAAUUAACACUUCUCUUGUACGCCUGAUACUCAGUGCCCGAGUUAUUUGAUAAAUUAAGUUUGAAAUACGCACCUCGGUCUGUUUCACGAGCAUCCGCGGACGGACCAUAAGACAGCGUCACGAGCGUCUUCUCUCUGCUUCCACCGAUUAUCGAGCUUCCACCGGGAGCGCUCAGCCCCAGGCGCAGGCAUCCUCAGCCCCCUGAAGCUUUUCAGGCCCUCCUGGGGCUUUGCUGUCGGCAGGAGCGUCGGGAAGAGCCUCCGUUAAAGGCUGGCCGAGGCCCCAGGGCUGUGUUUC